rnacentral:rRNA from 1 species
CCUACGGGAGGCAGCAGUGGGGAAUAUUGGACAAUGGGCGAAAGCCUGAUCCAGCAAUGCCGCGUGAGUGAUGAAGGCCUUAGGGUUGUAAAGCUCUUUUACCAGGGAUGAUAAUGACAGUACCUGGAGAAUAAGCUCCGGCUAACUCCGUGCCAGCAGCCGCGGUAAUACGGAGGGAGCUAGCGUUGUUCGGAAUUACUGGGCGUAAAGCGUACGUAGGCGGUUAUUCAAGUCAGAGGUGAAAGCCUGGAGCUCAACUCCAGAACUGCCUUUGAAACUAGAUAGCUAGAAUCUUGGAGAGGUGAGUGGAAUUCCGAGUGUAGAGGUGAAAUUCGUAGAUAUUCGGAAGAACACCAGUGGCGAAGGCGACUCACUGGACAAGUAUUGACGCUGAGGUACGAAAGCGUGGGGAGCAAACAGGAUUAGAUACCCUGGUAGUCCACGCCGUAAACGAUGAUAACUAGCUGUUCGGGCUCUACGAGCUUGAGUGGCGCNGCUACGACAUUAAGUUAUCCGUCCGUCGGGGAGGUACGGUCGCGAAGAAGUUAAAACGUUAAAACGGUAAAGUUAGUACGGCGUGAGACGUCGCCGACGGACGACGACGAGGGAGGUUAGG